UUACGACAAUAUCACGCUGAAUGACCGGUUUCCUGUACGAUCACCGAAGUUAAGCAAUGUUGAUCUUGGUCAAUAGCUAGAUGGGUGACCGUUUGGGAAUACCAGGUGCUGUAAG